rnacentral:lncRNA from 1 species
GAAGAGAAGGAGGGCAAAAGUGCAAAAUGGAACGAAGAAGAGGAGGAAGAAUAUACUUGUGCGAGAAGAAAUGAAGUAAGGCCCGAUCCAAAAUUGAGGCAUGCUAGGGAUUUUGAUCCCCUCCCUGAUCUGCCAUUUUGCACUUUUGCCCUCCUUCUUCUCUUCUUUUGGCACAAGAUGAUCCUCUCUUCUAUAGUUGGCCCCCUGGUUACUUUGUUUCUUCUCGCACAAGUAUAUUCUUCCUCCUCUUCUUCGUUCCAUUUUGCACUUUUGCCCUCCUUCUCUUCUUUUGGCACAAGAUGAUCCUCUCUUCUAUAGUUGGCCCCCUGGUUCAUCCAUCCAUCCCAGCCGCGCCGCGCCAUCCAUCCACCACUCCACCAGCGCUGCAUCCCCAACAUCCAACACUGCCGCGCCACACCACCAGCAGCCUCCAUCCGCCAGACCACCAGUACACCACCACCAACGCCAACUCCCUCUUCCUUCCUCUGCUCUCUCAACCUCCUACUGCUGCUUCUACUCCAAUCCCCACGCUGCUCACAUUACUUUUCCUUGUUGUUGUUCCUUUACUGAAGAAAACGACCUGCUGAUGUUCUGCACUUGUUGCUGUUCUGAACUCUGAACUCCUGCUGCUGCUUAUUCCGUGCCCAAGCUGCUGCUCCUCUCUUUCUUGCAACACCUUCUGCUGUUCUUCUCCUUCUCCUAACCUUGCUGUUGUUCUUCUCUGAACUCCUACCUCGCUGCAGCUCUGCUUCCUCACCUCUGUUGCUGCUACUUCUCUUCUGAACCACAAACUGCUGCUGCUCUCUUUAUUUCUCUUCCUCCCUCUCUUUCUAUGCAUGUUUGUGUAAUUUCUGUGAGUUAUUAGUGGAUGCUAGAUCAACCAUAUUCAAAACAGUAUCAGUUCUAUAUGUGUCUGUAUGUCAGCUACUUCACUAUAACAAAUUGUGCUUUUAUUUUAUAUUGAGAUUGAUCUUUGUGAAGUCAGAUGUGUGAUUGUGUUUGAUCUCUAGUUAAUGUGUUAGUUAAGUAC